UACUUCUUGGUUUUGUCCGUCUGGUGAUGUCCAGUUUUCCAUUGAAAGUUUACUGUGAAAAUUAAAGCUUAAUUUGCUUCUUUAUUUCUUUUCAAAGCUUCUUUGUUGUUCCAAGCUACAUUUAUGGAUAUUUAUGAUUUUGUUUCUGGAUUACGCCCAAAGGAUGAGCUAUUUUUGAGCUCUUUUUGUUGAGGUAAAAAAUUAAUUCUAUCUGGAUUUAUAAUCUUGAAAUUCCCGUUGAAGUUCUACAUUAUUCUCCAAAGGCUUGAUUGUCUAGAUCCAAGGAGACAGAAAAAGAGAGUUGGGAAACUACCUGCCAUUUACUCAUAACAAUGCUGGAGAUUGCUGAAAGUCAGCUGAGUCAGAAUUAUCUUCUUAGUCUCAAGUUUUGAACUCAAAAGAGGCUAGAUUGAUGGCAGCCAAAGAAGAGG